UACGUAGGGGGCAAGCGUUGUCCGGAUUUAUUGGGCGUAAAGAGCGUGUAGGCGGUCAGGUAGGUCCGUUGUGAAAACUCGAGGCUCAACCUCGAGACGCCGAUGGAAACCAUCUGACUAGAGUCCGGAAGAGGAGAGUGGAAUUCCUAGUGUAGGAGUGAAAUCCGUAGAUAUUAGGAGGAACAUCAAUGGCGAAGGCAGCUUGCUGGGACAUUACUGACGCUGAGCUACGAAAGCGUGGGGAGCAAACAGG
rnacentral:rRNA from 1 species